CAUCUGUAAGGCUACAGCUUCUGUGAUACACAAAUCCUUCCCUGUGGCUAAGGCUGCUAGGCAGCCUCACAGUAUCGAUUCUCAGUUCUUCCAAGAGAUGGGGUUUCACCAUGUUAGCCAGUAUGGUCUCCAUCUCCUCACCUCCUGAUCCGCCCACCUCAGCCUCCCAAAGUGCUGGGAUUACAGGCAUGAGCCACCGCACCAGGCCUUUUUCAACUCUUGAUAAGUUUGAUUCUUGAAGCUGCAGCCCUCACACCAUUUACCUCAGUAGAAGUCAUGGCUUCAAGACCUACACAUUUACCAAAGGCAAAUUCUUAAAAGGGCUGGGCACAGUGGCUUACUUACGCCUGUAAUCCCAGCACAUUGGGAGGCUGAGGUAGGUGGAUCACUGGACGUCAGGAGUUCGAGGUCAGCCUGCCUACAUGGUGAAAUCUGGUCUCUACUAAAAAUAUAAAAAUUAGCCAAGCAUGGUGUCACGUGCCUGUAGUCCCAGCUACUCAGGAAGCUGAGGCAGAAGAAUCACUUGAACCCAAGAGGCAGAGGUUGCGGUGAGCCAAGCUCGUGCCAUUGCACUCCAGCCUGGGCAACAGAGUGAGACUCCAUCUCAAGAAAAAAAAAAAAACAAUCUAAGUAGGUGCCAAAUUUUCCAUCCCACCAGAAAAUAAGACUACAGUUGAAUUAAGUCAUGUCCUACUCUCCUAGACUCAAAGCUGUUUUAUAAAGACAAUGUAUUCUUAUUUUCUACAGUAUUUUUGUUUCCAGGUCAUCUAGCAACAGUGUUAAAAACCCUUUGUAAUGCUAAAGACAGAGGGCAGGAUUAAUUCUCUUAGUCUCAUUUGUUUCCAGAAUUUUCUGCAUAUGUUUCCUAAAUUUUAGAAGACACUAUUCAAUCAUGUAAACCCACAUUAUAAGCAACUUUAAGUCUUCUUCCAAGGACUACCUUUUACACGGUCGAUCCCUAAUUUUCCGGAUUUGGACAAGUUUCCAUUCAAAAGUGAUGUCCAUCCAGUUAGAAAGCUUCUAGAACAUUUUCCUUCCUACUCUCACAACUAUUCCAUCAAUUA